ACCCUCCCUCACAUCUUAGUGGGGAGCCACUGUUCUCAAUUCUGUGGGAAGGGUCAGUGCAAGUCCUGUAGAAAUGUAUUUUGACAUCAUUAUGAGAUUUAAACAAAUUCCUCAGUGAAUGUUUGGUUGUGAUAUGUUAACCUGCAAGUUUUGAACAUUGACAUGUUUUCGUGUUAGGAAACAGGAGCUCACUUUUCUACAUCCUUGUUGGAGCAUUCUGGGAAUGAAGACAGGUGGAUCUUUUAACUUUCUCACUUCUAUAAAGAAUGCCACACAGGGUGUGAGCCACCGUGCCCAGCUUCUUUUGUUAUCUCGUUACCUCCUGUUGGGACCACAGCAUUUCACUAAUCAGCCACUUGUAGUUUUUGAUUCUGGCUUCCUUCAGGGAAGACAUGCUACAGUCAUCCUGACUAGAGGCUCUGGAGAUCCCUCAAGCCUUUUCUAAGGAUGCCUCCUCCGUGGACUUUUUGAUUGUAGCUUAACUAGAGAGCUUGUGCCAGUUUGUAUGCAGGAAUGUCUCUGUUGUCUGCCGGCUGUUCCGCAGCCUCGCUGGUGUCCUAGUAAGCUGGGGGCUGCACCGCCACCUCAUGUCUGCGUACGUUACUACAAGCUCUGGUUUAUGACGGAUGGCUUUGUUCUCAGUAGCUUCCUUACCUGGGGUCCUGUUACUUCAGUGUUUAUAUUCAGUCAAGACAAACUUGUCCCUUAGCAGUGCCCUGAAAAGUCAGAAUGUUAUGAGCCUUGUGUUGUGUUACAGGAAAAAAGAGAAAAAAAAA
rnacentral:sRNA from 1 species